AAUACGUUCUCGGGCCUUGUACACACCGCCCGUCACACCAUGGGAGUCGGUAACACCCGAAGUCUGUAGCCUGACGCAAGGGGGGAGCUGCCGAAGGUGGGAUAAGCGACUGGGGUGAAGUCGUAACAAGGUACC
rnacentral:rRNA from 1 species